CCUGGUUCCACACAGCUGAUUUAGAUGGCUGAAGAACGUCAGUCAUGAAGAUCCGCAGGAGAUCUGAUGAUCCAUUCAUUUGAUCCAGGUGUGCCGAACCACGGAAAUGCCAAAAACAUUCAGGAUAUCUAAUGGUUCAUGUUGAUCAGCAUUUCCACCAUCCUGGAAAGAAGAAACCAGCCCAGAAAGUUUUCUCCUGGACAGACUGGUGACAGCAUCCUGCCCACGCCAUGCAGCGUUCCAUCACUGCAGCUGUUGUUUACCUCCGUCUCCUGCUUCUCUUCAGCAGCCAUUCUGUUCUUCCUGCUGUCUGACAGGCGAGAAUCGGAGUCGCUUUUGAAGUGGAAGAGAAUGGCAGCUGGAGUCCAGAACAAGAUGGAAGACAUGGGCUUCCACUACAAAGCAUGGGAUAGAUAUUUCACCUAGGUGUAACGAAAUGCUGUUUCUUAUUAAAGAUGUAAAAGGUCCAAAAUUACAAAGAAGGUAAAAGAUUAUGACUAAAACUAAAUUAAAAAGUUGUUUUAAAAUAAACAUUGAUCCUGUGUUUUUGCAUCGGCUAAUCUGUGUAACCAGAAUGUUUUGGUUCUUCUGCACAUCUCUCAGCUAAACCAUGGAAAUGGUGGUGACUACCCCUAUAGACUAGCCAGCACAACGGUUGGUUACUGUGGAGACUGGAUGCAAGACGGUAGAAAGACAUUACUGACCAAGGUGUCAUAGAGAUUACUAAGGAACAUUAAUGUAAAUAUGACACAAAUGCUCCUUUUCCAUGGGCUCUAUCUUGGCCAGCUCUACUCCACUCAGCCCGUUUUGUGACCAUUUACAUCACUGGCUUUUCCGGCCUGGUACUGGCUUUCUUGGUACCUGUUCGUCAGCAGGUCCCAUGGGGCUAAGCAAACUGCUGUUCACUGAUUGUCAACGAGCAUGGUCAGCCAUUUGUCAGCGGCAUUAGAAAGUGUUUGUAGGGGAAGCGGAGAGAAUGACAAGCCACCUAUUUUAGAGCACACUGCAGUGCUGCGAAAAGCUGAAAAAUCUCAAGAGUGACGACCAAAAUAUUAAAGACUACAGUGACCUGCGUCGGUCGUACCAAAAGCCGUGGAUGUGGUGUACUUGGAUGUUUGUACUUGAGACAUAUUGCAUGUUUGGUAGGCUCACAGCAAACCAUAAGACAGCAACGGUUAAUGGCGACACAGCGUACAUUGCUGACGGCUGGAGCCUGCAGAGAGUCAAUGGAGACACAACAGCUUUCAUGCGAAGUAGAGCGAGAUUGAGCAGAGUGGAGCCGUGAGAUGCUGGAACCAUGAAUUGAAAACAGGCAAAACAUACAGACAUAGAUAAAUGCUUUAAAAGGAAUUUGGAUGCAUAAAAAAACCCAAAAAAACAAAGAGCUCGUCUUUAAUUCCAACUAGAGCUCCUUAAAUAAAGACCUCCAUUAAAAAAAAUCUAAGAAUACAGGCUUUGUGUUUCAUCUUGGUUUGAACAAUCCUAAUAUUUUUAGAAACAACGAUGUGCGUUCUGAUUGUAAAGCUCAGACGUAAUUUUGCCUGUUAAUAAAACGCGACCUAUCAUAUUGUGCAAGUGUACAACAUCGGCCACACUGCAAAGUUCCCAAAAAUUAGUAAGCAACGAAUCAGUCAGCAGCAAAAGAGCAGACUGAUGAAUACUAAUGCUGGGAAAUAGGUCAUCUAAUGAAAUGAUGCACAUCCACAAACUGAUGGAGUGAGCACUCACACUCAACAGGUGGGAUGCAAAUCAUGUGCCUUUCUGUUUGUUUGUCCUCCUGGUUGAGACAUCACUUAAGAACGAUAAUUAGCUCACUGGAAAUAACACACUUUGUCAAAACACACUUUGUGCACAGCAAUAAAUAUAGAUUUUCUGCUCCUGUUUUUAACAUGUUUGGAUCCGAUGGAAUUCUGUUGUUUCCUGAAAAACACUAAAUAAGUAGAGGUCAGCUCUAAUUUAUGUAUGAUCUGUUUAGUAAAACAACCAAUAUGCACUUCUAUCCUGACAUUUCCUACCAGCAUGAUGGAAUAUUAUCCAAACGUUAUAUUCAGCAUGCCUCACAAGUCCAACCUUAUUUAAAUUUAAGGUUUUGUCUCAGUCCAACAGAACCUGAGAUUAACAACAUAUCUCAUUUUUAGAUGCACAAUAUUAUGAGGUUUUUAGUUUCAUUUGGUGCAUGUGAAGGUGUGAAACAAACAGCGAGUAACACGGGUUUCAACAUUUAUGUCCAAAGUCCAUUCUAUCAAUACCAAAAACAUUCUUGGUUAUGUUUCAACCCAUCUUAAAACUACAAAUACAAAAAUUCACGAUGUAUUCAAAGACGAAAUGUUAACAGUGCUACGGCUUUAAAUAUAGAUGGAUUGAUGAGACUGGGUAUACAGAAAUACAAACGUUUUAUCAAAUAAAAAUCCCAUUCCAUGCUUUUCCAGAUUUUUCUGGAAUGUGUAGAAGUCCUAGUUAUAUAAACAGCCAGCUAAACAGAAACAUCAAGGUCUACAGUUUGAUCCAGACUUCUGAGGGUAAAGAAACAAUCUGAAGUUACACUUGUAUAUAAUUACAUAAUAUAAAUAUUUUUGACUUUGUUUCUGUGAUGAGGUGCCCAGAAAAACAAAUUUUUUGCAGUUUCUGUGUACAUUUCUAAAAAUGGAAAUAUUUUCUUAGGUUUUAUAAAUCCUUUUGUUCUUUAGUUUAUUUCAAGGGGAGCAGAGGCAGGCGUGCAAUUUUGAUUUAAAACCUUAGAGUAUAAAAUGCUUGCUGAAGACUACUUUGGAAGCUUAAUACCUUUAUUGCAAAUAUUUAACAGCCACAUUUAAUCGCAUUAAGGUGGUAUUACUAGAAUUAAUAAGGGAUCAUUUUAAAGCAUAGAAACUUCAGCAGCCCCUUAAAAGCGGAAGUAAACAAAUAAAAGACAACCUAUUGUAUUUUUUUAAGAUGACCUAUUAUGCAAUAUUCACUUUUUGAUAAUUUUAAUACUUCCAUUUGGGUCUCUAAUGUUGCUACAAAGAGUCCAAAAAAACAAAACAUUCCGCCGUUUUUUGGCUAUAAUUGAAUGUUUUAUUUUUCCUAGAAAACGUGCGGUUUCAAAAGCUGUGUAAUUGUGACGUCAUGAUUACACUGGCACCUAGCAACGUAACCUGAGACCCGCCCCUGACCAGCACCUGAAGCAGAGCUCCACCCACUUGAUUUUCAGUAGAGGAUCACGUCUAGCCGGCUGAGUUUACCUUACAAGUGCUUUACAAUGGCUGGGCUCACAGGCAGAUGUUUAUGUUGUUGGCGGCAAAGACUCACACGUGUCCAUGCAUUUCUCCCGCUGUCGGAUAACAGAGUCUCGUGGCUUUAUUUUAUUUUUGAGGGUAAUGUUCCAGUCACAUUGCCGAAGACAGUACUAGUUUGCGCAAAUCACUUCACCACGGACUGCGUAGUGAACACACAUCAGUUCACAAUAGGGUUUAUAGAAAGACUAAAGGGCAGAACGUAGUCGGGCAUACUGUGAGCAGAGCGCGGCUUCAUAGUUGUAUCAAUUCCCUAUACUUCUAGUGACAAAUUCCUACAUUUCCCACACAUUUCGCCAUGGCAUCAUCGGAUGGGGAGGCAGAACUAAUGUGCUGUGUAGCUUUGGAAAAACAAAAAGAAAAGAAGGUGGUUUUAAAGGCCUUUAAACCAGAGUAGGGACGAAGAAGAGGAAUACCCAGUGUUGCCAGGUGAGAAAUGUAGGAUUAUCGUACUAGAUUUAAAAUUGUCGUAUUUUGAGGGAAAUGAUCGUACACUCGUCAUAACCAAAAUAACAUGUCUGUUGAUGUGUUGAAUAGCGUCUAACAGACACUCGCAGCUUUGUGGCGUCAGAACGGAAUGGAUUUACCAACAGUUUCAGCCCCACAGAGCCGGGCUCUGCUUCUUCUUCUUCUUUUCUUUUCUUCAAUCAUGGGCGGGCGCAGUGGACUAUUCAGCCAAUCAUGGCCGUUGUUCUGAGGCCAACGCAUAGACGUAGGUCCAAUUUAGAAAAGCACGAUU